rnacentral:rRNA from 1 species
AGAGUUUGAUCCUGGCUCAGGACGAACGCUGGCGGCGUGCUCAACACAUGCAAGUCGAACGGAAAGGCCCUGCUUUUGUGGGGUGCUCGAGUGGCGAACGGGUGAGUAACACGUGAGUAACCUGCCCUUGACUUUGGGAUAACUUCAGGAAACUGGGGCUAAUACCGGAUAGGAGCUCCUGCUGCAUGGUGGGGGUUGGAAAGUUUCGGCGGUUGGGGAUGGACUCGCGGCUUAUCAGCUUGUUGGUGGGGUAGUGGCUUACCAAGGCUUUGACGGGUAGCCGGCCUGAGAGGGUGACCGGCCACAUUGGGACUGAGAUACGGCCCAGACUCCUACGGGAGGCAGCAGUGGGGAAUAUUGCACAAUGGGCGGAAGCCUGAUGCAGCAACGCCGCGUGCGGGAUGACGGCCUUCGGGCUGUAAACCGCUUUCGCCUGUGACGAAGCGUGAGUGACGGUAAUGGGUAAAGAAGCACCGGCUAACUACGUGCCAGCAGCCGCGGUAAU